UACGUAGGGACCAAGCGUUGUUCGGAUUUACUGGGCGUAAAGGGCGCGUAGGCGGCAAUUCAAGUCAUCUGUGAAAUCUCCGGGCUUAACUCGGAACGGUCAGAUGAUACUGCUUUGCUAGAGUGCGGAAGGGGCAAUCGGAAUUCUUGGUGUAGCGGUGAAAUGCGUAGAUAUCAAGAAGAACACCAAUGGCGAAGGCAGCUCUCUGGGACGGUACUGACGCUGAGACGCGAAAGCGUGGGGAGCGAACAGG
rnacentral:rRNA from 1 species